rnacentral:rRNA from 1 species
CUGACGUGCAAAUCGAUCGUCUGAGCUGGGUAUAGGGGCGAAAGACUAAUCGAACCAUCUAGUAGCUGGUUCCAUCCGAAGUUUCCCUCAGGAUAGCUGGCGCCGAUGUUGUCCCGCCCGUUCGCGGGCGAAAGGACGCCGGUGGGACUCCGCGCUGUACGGCGCGGUAACAACACGCACUGUAACACGGAGGAUGUCUCAUACGGUAAAGCGAAUGAUUAGAGGACAUUGGGGCCGAAACGACCUCAACCUAUUCUCAAACUAUAAAUGGGUGAGAUCGCCGGCUUUACCUGGUACACCGCGUGAACCGCGUGCGAAGCCGGCGACGGAACCCUAGGCGCUUAGUGGGCCAUUUUUGGUAAGCAGAACUGGCGCUGCGGGAUGAACCGAACGCCGAGUUAAGGCGCCGAAAUCGACGCGUAUUCAGAGACCAUGAAAGGCGUUGGUUGCUGAUGACAGCAGGACGGUGGCCAUGGAAGUCGGAAUCCGCUAAGGAGUGUGUAACAACUCACCUGCCGAAGCAACUAGCUCUGAAAAUGGAUGGCGCUGGAGCGUCGUGCCUAUACUCGGCCGUCUGCGGCACAGUGGGGCCGGGCGCCGCUCGCGGCGUCCGGUCCCGGCAGGCCCAGACGAGUAGGGUGGCGACGCGGUGUGCUUCGAAGGGCAGGUCGCGAGACCGCCUGGAGCCGCCGUGUGUGCAGAUCUUGGUGGUAGUAGCAAAUACUCGAGAGGGGCCCUCGGGGGCUGCCGUGGAGAAGGGUUUCUUGUGAACAGCCGUUGUCCAAGAGUCAGUCGAUCCUAAGCCCGGGGAGAGAUCCUCGUUAACACGGGCGAAGGCGUUUUCGAAUCGCCCAUGGGGCGAGAGGGAAUCCGGUCCGUAUUCCGGAACCCGACGCGGAACCGCUCCCUAGUGUUCGGGGCUCUUUUGUCUCGUUCGGGCAACCGGAAUGAACCAGAAGAAGCCGCCGGGGGGUCCGGGAAGAGUUCUCUUUUCUCUGUGAGCGUUGUACGUCCCUGGAAUCCUCUAGCCGGGCGAUAGGGACGCGAGCGCGAAGAGCACCGCUCGUUGCGGCGGUGUCCGUGACCCCCACGCGGACCUUGAAAAUUCUGGUGAGAGCCACGCGGAGUCUUCGCGUCGGUUCGUACCGAUAUCCGCAGCAGGUCUCCGAGGUGAGCAGCCUCUAGCCGCAUAGAAUAAUGUAGGUAAGGGAAGUCGGCAAAACCGAUCCGUAACUUCGGGAUAAGGAUUGGCUCUGAGGAGCGUGGCGGAUCGGGUUCGGGUCGUCGUAGAAGCGUAGGCGGUGCUGGCGACACCGCGACCGUCGCCCGUGCCCCCGGUCUCCGGACCGGGAGCACUCGAGGCGGUCGCGGCCCGUCGCCGUCCGCCGACCGUGGAACCACCGAGCUUCGGUCGCUGGCCGCGGCGCGGCCGGCCGUCCGCCCCGGCGUCGGUUCGUCCGGCGUCUGGGCGGUCCGGCCGCCGCGCCGUCGGCCGCGUAGCCGGAUCGACCGCCAUGUAACGGUCAACUCAGAACUGGCACGGACCAGGGGAAUCCGACUGUCUAAUUAAAACAAAGCAUCGCGAUGGCCCGGGACGGGUGUUGACGCGAUGUGAUUUCUGCCCAGUGCUCUGAAUGUCAACGUGAAGAAAUUCAAGCAAGCGCGGGUAAACGGCAGGAGUAACUAUGACUCUUUUAAGGUAGCCAAAUGCCUCGUCAUCUAAUUAGUGACGCGCAUGAAUGGAUUAA